GUGUGAGCAGGCAUCUUAUCAGCCUACAUGUAGAUUGCCAAAUCUGCAGGCUGGUUAGAUGGUUGUCAUACAU
rnacentral:pre_miRNA from 1 species